CAGAGACAAGAAGGCUGUAAAGAUCUGAGAAUGGACAUGAAGCACCUGGAACAUUCCUUACAAAUCCUGCACCAACACCACUAAUGAAGAGAAGUUGAAUAGAGAUAAAACAGGAGGUGCCAGCAUUAUUGGAUGGCGGUGUAAGCUCUGCACAUUUGUCGUAUCAUCAAAAGGAAUUUCGAUCAUUACCGAGUAAAGCAUGGUACUGUUGGUCAUGGAUAUUUAGUGUCCUGUCUU